rnacentral:rRNA from 1 species
UACGUAGGGUGCGAGCGUUAAUCGGAAUUACUGGGCGUAAAGCGUGCGCAGGCGGUGAUGUAAGACAGGUGUGAAAUCCCCGGGCUUAACCUGGGAACUGCAUUGUGACUGCAUUGCUGGAGUGCGGCAGAGGGGAUGGAAUUCCGGCGUGUAGCAGUGAAAUGCGUAGAUAUGCGGAGGAACACCGAUGGCGAAGGCAAUCCCCUGGGCCUGCACUGACGCUCAUGCACGAAAGCGUGGGGAGCAAACAGG